UGUCUUGUAAUUGGAAUGAUGGGAAUUUAAACCUCUUCCAGAGUAUCAAUUGGAGGGCAAGUCUGGUGCCAGCAGCCGCGGUAAUUCCAGCUCCAAUAGCGUAUAUUAAAAUUGUUGCAGUUAAAAAGCUCGUAGUUGAAUUUCUGCUGCAUUGCUUUUGCUCCUUUACGAGUCUUUGCAUUGUGGCUUAUUUCGGACUUUGUUUUACAAUGUCCGGAUGUUUACUUUGAGAAAAUUAGAGUGCUCAAAGCAGGCUUUCGCCUUGAAUAGUUUAGCAUGGAAUAAUAAAGUAGGACUUUGGUUCUAUUUUGUUGGUUUUAGGUACCAAAGUAAUGGUUAAUAGGAACAGUUGGGGGCAUUCGUAUUUAACUGUCAGAGGUGAAAUUCUUAGAUUUGUUAAAGACGAACUACUGCGAAAGCAUUUGCCAAGGAUGUUUUCAUUAAUCAAGAACGAAAGUUAGGGGAUCGAAGACGAUCAGAUACCGUCGUAGUCCUAACCAU
rnacentral:rRNA from 1 species